ACCGAAUAGAUACCCGGGUAGUCCACGCCGUAAACUAUGAACGCUGGCCCGUUGGCGAGCUUGCUCGUCAGUGGCGCAGCUAACGCAUUAAGCGUUCCGCCUGGGGAGUACGGCCGCAAGGUUGAAACUCAAAGAAAUUGACGGGGGCCCGGCACAAGCGGUGGAGCAUGUGGUUUAAUUACGUACGCAACGCGCAGAACCUUACCAGGGUUUGUACAUCCCGACGACCGCUGCUGAAAGGCAGUUUCCCGUCAAGGGCGUCGGAGACAGGUGCUGCAUGGCUGUCGUCAGCUCGUGUCGUGAGAUGUUGGGUUAAGUCCCGCAACGAGCGCAACCCUCGCCUUUAGUUGCCAUCAUUAAGUUGGGCACUCUAGAGGGACCGCCGGCGACAAGCCGGAGGAAGGUGGGGAUGACGUCAAGUCCUCAUGGCCCGUUACACCCUGGGCUACACACGUGCUACAAUGGCGGUGACAGUGAGCAGCUAACUCGCGAGAGUGUGCUAAUCUCCAAAAACCGUCCCAGUUCAGAUUGCACU
rnacentral:rRNA from 1 species